CUACAUCUACCCUGUAGAUCCGAAUUUGUUUCAUGUUUAUUAGUCAACAAAUUCGGUUCUAGAGAGGUUUGUGUG
rnacentral:pre_miRNA from 1 species